rnacentral:rRNA from 1 species
UAGAGAGUAGUUGCGGUAGGCGGAAUGUAUGGUGUAGCGGUGAAAUGCUUAGAGAUCAUACAGAACACCGAUUGCGAAGGCAGCUUACCAAGCUAUAUCUGACGUUGAGGCACGAAAGCGUGGGGAGCAAACAGGAUUAGAUACCCUGGUAGUCCACGCAGUAAACGAUGAUAACUCGUUGUCGGCGAUACAAUGUCGGUGACUAAGCGAAAGCGAUAAGUUAUCCACCUGGGGAGUACGUUCGCAAGAAUGAAACUCAAAGGAAUUGACGGGGGCCCGCACAAGCGGAGGAACAUGUGGUUUAAUUCGAUGAUACGCGAGGAACCUUACCCGGGCUUGAAAGUUAGUGACGGACAUGGAAACAUGUCUUCCCUUCGGGGCACGAAACUAGGUGCUGCAUGGUUGUCGUUAGCUCGUGCCGUGAGGUGUCGGGUUAAGUCCCAUAACGAGCGCAACCCCUACCGUUAGUUGCCAUCAGGUCAAGCUGGGCACUCUAGCGGGACUGCCGGUGUAAGCCGAGAGGAAGGUGGGGAUGACGUCAAAUCAGCACGGCCCUUACGUCCGGGGCUACACACGUGUUACAAUGGCAGGUACAGAGGGCAGCUACCCCGCGAGGGGAUGCGAAUCUCGAAAGCCUGUCUCAGUUCGGAUUGGAGGCUGAAACCCGCCUCCAUGAAGUUGGAUUCGCUGGUAAUCGCGCAUCAGCCAUGGCGCGGUGAAUACGUUCCCGGGCCUUGUACACACCGCCCGUCAAGCCAUGGGAGCUGGGGGUGCCUGAAGUUCGUGACCGCAAGGAGCGACCUAGGGCAAAACCGGUAACUGGGGCUAAGUCGUAACAAGGUAACC